CCCUUAGAUGUUCUGGGCCGCACGCGCGCUACACUGAUGCAUUCAACGAGUUUCUUCCUGGUCCGAGAGGAAUGGGUAACCUUUUGAAAGUGCAUCGUGAUAGGGAUAGGCUAUUGCAAUUAUUGGUCUUCAACGAGGAAUUCCUAGUAGACGUAGUUCAUCAGACUGCAUCGAUUACGCCCCUGCCCUUUGUACACACCGCCCGUCGCUCCUACCGAUUGAAUGCUCAGGUGAGCCAUUCGGACUUUCAUCAUGCUGGUUUCCAGUUUUGAUGAAGGAAAGUCUUGCGAACCUUAUCAUUUAGAGGAAGGAGAAGUCGUAACA
rnacentral:rRNA from 1 species